CUUUUCUGCUCCAAGAAACCCACUUACGUGUAAGUGGUUGACGGUAGAGCAGGAAUAAGCAUCGGCUAACUCCGUGCCAGCAGCCGCGGUAAUACGGAGGAUGCAAGCGUAAUCCGGAUUUAUUGGGUUUAAAGGGUGCGCAGGCGGAUUAAUAAGUCAGUAGUGAAAUCCUGCAGCUUAACUGUAGAAUUGCUAUUGAUACUGUUAAUCUUGAGUAACAGUUGAGGUAGGCGGAAUGUAUGAUGUAGCGGUGAAAUGCUUAGAUAUCAUACAGAACACCAAUUGCGAAGGCAGCUUACUAAACUGUAACUGACGCUGAGGCACGAAAGCGUGGGGAGCGAACAGGAUUAGAUACCCUGGUAGUCCACGCUGUAAACGAUGAUCACUCGCUGUUGGCAAUACAUCGUCAGUGGCUGAGCAAAAGCAUUAAGUGAUCCACCUGGGGAGUACGUCGGCAACGAUGAAACUCAAAGGAAUUGACGGGGGCCCGCACAAGCGGUGGAACAUGUGGUUUAAUUCGAUGAUACGCGAGGAACCUUACCUGGGCUUAAAUGCAGAACGACGGUUCCCGAAAGGGAUCCUUCUUCGGACGGACUGCAAGGUGCUGCAUGGUUGUCGUCAGCUCGUGCCGUGAGGUGUCGGGUUAAGUCCCAUAACGAGCGCAACCCCUAUUGUUAGUUGCCAGCGAGUAAUGUCGGGGACUCUAACGAAACUGCCGGUGUAAACCGUGAGGAAGGUGGGGAUGACGUCAAAUCAGCACGGCCCUUAUGUCCAGGGCUACACACGUGUUACAAUGGUCGGUACAGAGGGCAGCUACUUGGCGACAAGUUGCAAAUCUCUAAAACCGGCCUUAGUUCGGAUUGAAGUCUGCAACUCGACUUCAUGAAGCUGGAAUCGCUAGUAAUCGCGCAUCAGCCAUGGCGCGGUGAAUACGUUCCCGGGCCUUGUACACACCGCCCGUCAAGCCAUGGAAGCUGGGGGUACCUAAGUCCGUAACCGAAAGGAGCGGC
rnacentral:rRNA from 1 species